rnacentral:lncRNA from 1 species
AUUGUGAUGGGAUUCAUAAUAAGAAAUAUGUAUUUGAGCUUCGACCUGGUUCCUGGCACAGAGCUCCUAAAACCCUUGGAAUUUCUUAAGAGAUGAGAGCGACAAAGGUGUCUUGUUAUGCUAAUGAGGUGACUUUUGGAAGCUUCUAAGUAUGGGGGGAGUGAUUAGAGAAUUGAAACUUUGAUUCUGACACCCUGACCUUCAGGAAGGAGAGAGGGGUUGGAGGUUGAGUCAAUCACCAAUGGCCAAAGAGUCAAGUAAUCACACCUGUGUGAUGAAGCCUGCAUAAAAACCCAAAAGGACAGUGUUUAGAGAACGUCCUGGUUUGUGGAUAUGCGGAGGUGCUGGGAGACUGGUGCUCCGGGAUAGGGCUUGGAAGCUCCAUGUGCCUUUCCACAUACCUUGCCCUACAAAUCUCUUCCAUGUGGAUGUUCAUCUGUAUCCUGUAUCAUAUCCUUUUAUAACAAACUGCUGAAGUCAAGAAACUGGGCCACAGCCAAGCACACAUGCCUGAUGAGCGACAGAGGUGAUGCCAUCUGACUGCAGAGCGCAAGAGCCAAACCUUUGCACUAGUCACCCUCCUGACUCCAGGAGCAAACUAUGGCAUGCUCCUUUUUAAAGAAAGUAUGAGACUUUUCAGGAGGUAUUUUUCCUGGAUAUAUAAAUCAAUUCCAUUCAUAGCAAAGUGGCUUCAGAGAUGACUGCAAAGUAAAUUUUCCAUCACCCAAGCCUCUCCUUCCUUGACGCAAUGAAGAGUAAGAACAAGAGAUCCUGGGGCUGCCCCAUGGCCUAGUGGUUAAGUUUGCGUGCUCCACUUCAGCGGCCCAGGCUUUCACUGGUUUGGAUUCUGGGUGCGGACGUGGCACUUCUCAUCAGGCCAUCCUGAGGCAGAGUCUCACAUAGCACAACCAGAAGGACCUACAACUAGAAUAUACAACUAUAUACCAGGGAGCUUCGAGGAGAAGAAGGAAAAAAAAAAAGUAAAGGUUGGCAACAGAUGCCCAGACUCUGUUCUAGGGGCUUGGAAUACGCCAGUGAACAAAAGAGACAAAAAUCCCUGCCCUCAUGAGAUACAUAAAAUGAGGAAAACAAUGUUAAACAGCACAGGUGACAGAAUUUCCAAGAGGAAGAGAGGAAUUAAGAAAGACGCCAAGAUUUCUGGCCUGAUCAAAGGAAGAACUGAGUGUCCAAUUCUUGAGGUAUGGGAAGACCUGUGAGGGGAGCAGGUUUUGACACAGACUAGCAAGAGCUCAGUUUUGGACACUUGGAGAUGCCUACAGAUCUACUAGGCCGAUUUCAAGCAGGCAGUUCCAGCUACGUGAGUGGAGCUCAGGAGAGCGAUCCA